rnacentral:sRNA from 1 species
GAUACGAAAAGAUUGCAGGCAUAUAAACUAAACACAAAAGCACAAUCUCUC